AGAGUUUGAUCCUGGCUCAGGAUGAACGCUAGCGGGAGGCCUAAUACAUGCAAGUCGAACGCGAACGUAUCCUUCGGGAUACAAGUAGAGUGGCGAACGGGUGAGUAACGCGUACGCGACCUGCCUUUAACAGGAGAAUAGCCUCGGGAAACUGGGAUUAAUGCUCCAUGUGGUUAUAUACGUAGGUGUAUAUAAUUAAAGGAUUCGAUCCGGUUAGAGAUGGGCGUGCGUUCUAUUAGCUAGUUGGUGGAGUAACGGUUCACCAAGGCGAUAAUAGAUAGGGGGCGUGAGAGCGUGACCCCCCACACGGGUACUGAGACACGGACCCGACUCCUACGGGAGGCAGCAGUAAGGAAUCUUGGACAAUGGAAGCAAUUCUGAUCCAGCCAUCCCGCGUGUAGGAAGACGGCCUUAUGGGUUGUAAACUACUUUUGUAAGGGAAGAAUAGUACGCAUUGAUGUGUACAUGACGGUACCUUACGAAUAAGCACCGGCUAACUCCGUGCCAGCAGCCGCGGUAAUACGGAGGGUGCAAGCGUUAUCCGGAAUCACUGGGUUUAAAGGGUGCGUAGGCGGUAUUUCAAGUCAGGCGUGAAAUGUUCUUGCUUAACGAGGAACGUGCGUUUGAAACUGAAAUACUUGAAUUA
rnacentral:rRNA from 1 species